rnacentral:rRNA from 1 species
UGAAUACGAGAUGCUACGGCGUCGAAGCAGUGUAUGUCAGACUUCCAAGAAAAGCUCGCAAUGUCAUAAAUAAAGAAUGCCUGUACCAUAACCGACACAGGUGGGUAGGUAGAGUAUACUAAGGGGCGCGAGAUAACUCUCUCUAAGGAACUCGGCAAAAUAAGCUCCGUAACUUCGGGAGAAGGAGUGCCUUCUUUAAGAAGGUUGCAAUAACAAGAUCCAAGCAACUGUUUAUCAAAAACACAGGUCUCCGCUAAGUCGUAAGACGAUGUAUGGGGGCUGACGCCUGCCCAGUGCCAGAAGGUUAAAGAAGUUGGUUAGCUUUUGCGAAGCUGAUGACUGAAGCCCUGGUGAACGGCGGCCGUAACAAUAACGGUCCUAAGGUAGCGAAAUUCCUUGUCGGGUAAGUUCCGACCCGCACGAAAGGCGUAAUGAUUUGGAUACUGUCUCGGAGAGGGACUCGGUGAAAUAGACUUGUCUGUGAAGAUGCGGACUACCUGCACCAGGACAGAAAGACCCUAUGAAGCUUUACUGUAACUUGAAAUUGAAAUUGGACUUUAUUUGCGCAGUAUAGGUGGAAGGCGUUGAAAGUAAUCUUGCGGGAUUAGUGGAGCCAUCAGUGAGAUACCACUCCUAUAAUGUUAGAUUUCUAACUUUGGAUCAUGAUCUGGUCAAAGAACAGUUUCAGGCGGGCAGUUUGACUGGGGCGGUCGCCUCCCAAAUGGUAACGGAGGCGUACAAAGGUUUCCUCUGAACGGGUAGAAAUCGUAUCUAGAGUGUAAAGGCAUAAGGAAGCUUGACUGUGAGACCUACAAGUCGAGCAGGGACGAAAGUCGGUCUUAGUGAUCUGACGGUGCUGAGUGGAAAGGCCGUCACUCAACGGAUAAAAGUUACUCUAGGAUAACAGGCUGAUCUCCCCCAAGAGUUCACAUCGACGGGGAGGUUUGGCACCUCGAUGUCGGCUCAUCGCAUCCUGGGGCGGUAGUACGUCCCAAGGGUUGGGCUGUUCGCCCAUGAAAGCGGUACGCGAGCUGGGUUCAGAACGUCGUGAGACAGUUCGGUCCAUAUCCGGUGUAGGCGUUAGAAUAUUGAGAGGAGCCUUCUUUAGUACGAGAGGACCGAGAAGGACAUACCUCUGGUGUACCAGUUAUCGUGCCAACGGUAAACGCUGGGUAGCUAUGUAUGGAGAGGAUAACCGCUGAAAGCAUCUAAGUGGGAAGCCCACCUCAAGAUGAG